GAAGGUAUAGCUCAGUGGUAGAGCACGUGCUUAGCAUGCACGAGAUCUUGGGUUCAAUCCCUAGUUCCUCCA
rfam:Camelus ferus unplaced genomic scaffold scaffold2472, whole genome shotgun sequence.